rnacentral:rRNA from 1 species
CACGGUGACAUUGUCGAAGAGGUCAUACCCGAUCCCAUCCCGAACUCGGAAGUCAAGCUUUUCAGAGCCGAUGGUACUGCAUGGGAAACUGUGUGGGAGAGUAGGACGUCGCCGGGU